AUUUGAAUGAAAAAGACAAACAUAAGAAGAGAAAAUGGACAAUCUAAAACACCCCGCAGCAGAUGGGACACUGCAGCCGCCUUCUCUGGGUUUGAGAAGCACCGCCCUUUGUGAGUUCAGUUCAGUGUGGGUCAAAGGAUAUGACCUCUGACCUGCAGAUUCUACAACUCAGAGAUGGCAUAAUUCUUUUGAGCCAAAGAUGAGCUGUUCAGACCCUGCACAGAUGGACUGUCUCACACUGGUGCAUGUGAAGGCCCAGGAGGAUUCUGUCUGAUGGUGAUCAGGAACAUCUCCAGGACUGUCACUUAUAAUACCUUUAAUUAACCUGCUUGCACUGAUGCUUCAGCACUGUUGUUCUGCCCUCACUGUAUAUUUUGUAUUUGUAAAUUAAAGUUUAUUUUACUGCA